rnacentral:misc_RNA from 1 species
GAUGAAGAACGUAGCGAAAUGCGAUAAGUAAUGUGAAUUGCAGAAUUUAGUGAAUCAUCGAAUCUUUGAACGCAUAUUGCGCCCGCCAGCACUCUGGCGGGCAUGCCUGUUCGAGCGUCAUUUCAACCCUCAGGCCUCGCGUCUGGCGUUGGGGCGCUGCGGCCCUCCCGCAGGCCCCCAAAUUUAGCGGCGGAUUCCCCGCGGCCCUGAGCGCAGUAGAGAGUAAAAACUUUAACGCUCCGGCGGCCGUGGCGCGGUUCUGCCUCUUUCACAAUAGCGCCAAUAGCGCCACCCCCAAAAAAGUUGACCUCGGAUCAGGUAGGACUACCCGCUGAACUUAAGCAUAUCAAUAAGCGGAGGA